rnacentral:rRNA from 1 species
GACGAACGCUGGCGGCGUGCUUAACACAUGCAAGUCGAGCGGUAAGGCCUUUCGGGGUACACGAGCGGCGAACGGGUGAGUAACACGUGGGUGACCUGCCCCCUACUCUGGGAUAAGCCUGGGAAACUGGGUCUAAUACCGGAUAUGACUCAUGAUCGCAUGGUUGUGGGUGGAAAGUUUUUCGGUGGGGGAUGGGCCCGCGGCCUAUCAGCUUGUUGGUGGGGUGAUGGCCUACCAAGGCGACGACGGGAGCCGGCCUGAGAGGGCGACCGGCCACACUGGGACUGAGACACGGCCCAGACUCCUACGGGAGGCAGCAGUGGGGAUAUUGCGCAAUGGCGGAAGCCUGACGCAGCGACGCCGCGUGGGGGAUGACGGCCU